rnacentral:rRNA from 1 species
AGAGUUUGAUCCUGGCUCAGAACGAACGCUGGCGGCGCGCCUAACACAUGCAAGUCGAACGAGAGGCUCUUCGGAGUAGUAAAGUGGCGUACGGGUGAGUAAUACAUGGGUAAUCUGCCUUUGAGCGGGGGAUAACCAGCCGAAAGACUGGCUAAUACCCCAUACGCUUCCGGUCCCUCGGGUAAGGAAGGAAAGCUGCAUCGUGGAUGUGGCACUCGAAGAUGGGCUCAUGGCCUAUCAGCUUGUUGGUGGGGUAAAGGCCUACCAAGGCAACGACGGGUAGCUGGUCUGAGAGGACGAUCAGCCACACUGGCACUGAGAUACGGGCCAGACUCCUACGGGAGGCAGCAGUGAGGAAUAUUGCGCAAUGGGCGAAAGCCUGACGCAGCGACGCCGCGUGGGGGAAGAAGGUUUUCGGAUUGUAAACCCCUUUUAGGAGGAAAGAUGGGGUGGUUCGCCACCCGGACGGUACCUCCAGAAAAAGCCACGGCUAACUUCGUGCCAGCAGCCGCGGUAAUACGAAGGUGGCGAGCGUUGUUCGGAUUUACUGGGCGUAAAGAGCACGUAGGCGGUUUAGUAAGCCCCUUGGGAAAGCUACGGGCUUAACCCGUAAAGGUCGAGGGGGACUGCUAUGCUAGAGGGCGGGAGAGGAGCGCGGAAUUUCCGGUGUAGCGGUGAAAUGCGUAGAUAUCGGGAAGAAGGCCGGUGGCGAAGGCGGCGCUCUGGAACGUCACUGACGCUGAGGUGCGAGAGCGUGGGGAGCAAACAGGAUUAGAUACCCUGGUAGUCCACGCCGUAAACGAUGGGUACUAAGUGUCGGCAGGUUACUGUCGGUGCCGCAGUUAACGCAGUAAGUACCCCGCCUGGGGAGUACGGCCGCAAGGUUGAAACUCAAAGGAAUUGACGGGGGCCCGCACAAGCGGUGGAGCAUGUGGUUUAAUUCGACGCAACGCGAAGAACCUUACCCAGGUUGGACAUGCUCGUGGAAAAGCUUGAAAGAGUAAAGACCCCUUCGGGGGGGCGAGCUCAGGUGCUGCAUGGCUGUCGUCAGCUCGUG